rnacentral:rRNA from 1 species
AACGAACGCUGGCGGCAGGCCUAACACAUGCAAGUCGAGCGAACCCUUCGGGGUUAGCGGCGGACGGGUUAGUAACGCGUGGGAAUAUACCCUUUGGUACGGAAUAGCCUCGGGAAACUGAGAGUAAUACCGUAUGUGCCCUUCGGGGGAAAGAUUUAUCGCCAAAGGAUUAGCCCGCGUUGGAUUAGAUAGUUGGUGGGGUAAUGGCCUACCAAGUCUACGAUCCAUAGCUGGUUUGAGAGGAUGAUCAGCAACACUGGGACUGAGACACGGCCCAGACUCCUACGGGAGGCAGCAGUGGGGAAUCUUAGACAAUGGGCGCAAGCCUGAUCUAGCCAUGCCGCGUGGACGAUGAAGGCCUUAGGGUUGUAAAGCUCUUUCAGUGGGGAAGAUAAUGACUGUACCCACAGAAGAAGCCCCGGCUAACUCCGUG